UGACCCUCGGAUCAGGAGGAC
rnacentral:rRNA from 1 species